ensembl:rRNA 5S_rRNA 5S ribosomal RNA
GCUUACGGCCAUACCACCUUAGGCACGCCCGAUCUCGUCUGAUCUCGGAAGCUAAGCAGGGACGGGCCUGGUUAGUACUUGGAUGGGUGACCGCCUGGGAAUACCAGGUGCUGUAAGCA